rnacentral:lncRNA from 1 species
CUGGUGGGUCUGCUAGUACAUGUGUUUCUUUCACUUUGCUUGAUUUAAAGAGUUUGAGGGUAGUGAUAGUGUGAACUGACCACUCUCUAUGCUUUGUAUUGAAAUCCUCCAACAUGCUAUCUGCAGUACAUCAUCUGUUGCCAAGAUCUACCUCCUCAACAAAUAAACAAACAAACAAACAUAAAAACACAUGACUGCAAUUAUUCAUUGUGGGACUUUGGAGAAGACUUCCAAAGAUCUUGCAUCCAGGCUCUGAAAGCUCUCUCUGGUACAUGUGAAUCCCUGGUUAAAAGAAAACUGGAGCAUGUUGGAAAACCUUCUUGUGUUAAAGUCUUCACAGGUUUCAAGGCAUGAUCUCCGUCUUCGUGCAAGUUCUGAACAUGUUAUCAUUCUGCAGAUAUCCAUCACUGUCCCUCAUGCCCUUGCCUAACCGGGCAGUGAGUGCCAUGGCUUGCUCACCUUGCAGGUACUGAGAGCACCUGGGACUGUCAGUCCCGUUUUCAAGCUGAAAACACACUGCUGCCAGCACUGGAACGGAUAUGACAACAAUGAUAUCUUCUUUUCUUCCCUAGGACUAUGACCUUUGCAACUGUGGUUUUCAGGGCUCUUUUAGUAUGAACUGAAUGUAAAGACAGACUUUUCCAGUGGCCUGAUGGCUCCUACAGGAUCUACGUAUUCUCUGAUGCUAGAACAAAGCUCUUGCUGAGGCUUACUGAACAGCUGGUGACAGCAAAUAUCUACGAAGGAGGAUGGCAGGAGCAUUGGAAAAUGCAGCCCAGAGACACGAAUAAGUGUGCUUGGCAAUAUUCAAGGCACUGCUCUGUACCUCAAGAGAGAAGUCAGACAUUACCAACAGCAAUUCCUUGGGCAUCACCCCGCCAAAUACCCUGGGGUGUGACUUGCUGUGAGAAGAAGAAAAGAGAAGUGACGUAGCUGCUCUUUGCAUUGCUCCACCAUGUGUUACACUGGACAAGGCUCAGCUAUGCAAAAUGAUGUUAU